UACGAAGGGGGCUAGCGUUGCUCGGAAUCACUGGGCGUAAAGGGUGCGUAGGCGGGUUUUUAAGUCAGGGGGGAAAUCCUGGAGCUCAACUCCAGAACUGCCUUUGAUACUGAAGAUCUUGAGUCCGGGAGAGGUGAGUGGAACUGCGAGUGUAGAGGUGAAAUUCGUAGAUAUUCGCAAGAACACCAGUGGCGAAGGCGGCUCACUGGCCCGGAACUGACGCUGAGACGCGAAAGCGUGGGGAGCAAACAGG
rnacentral:rRNA from 1 species